rnacentral:rRNA from 1 species
AUUGAACGCUGGCGGCAGGCCUAACACAUGCAAGUCGAGCGGUAGCACAGAGGAGCUUGCUCCUUGGGUGACGAGCGGCGGACGGGUGAGUAAUGUCUGGGAAACUGCCUGAUGGAGGGGGAUAACUACUGGAAACGGUAGCAAAUACCGCAUAACGUCUACGGGCCAAAGCGGGGGACUUUCGGGCCUCGCGCCAUCAGAUGUGCCCAGAUGGGAUUAGCUAGUAGGUGAGGUAAUGGCUCACCUAGGCGACGAUCCCUAGCUGGUCUGAGAGGAUGACCAGCCACACUGGAACUGAGACACGGUCCAGACUCCUACGGGAGGCAGCAGUGGGGAAUAUUGCACAAUGGGCGCAAGCCUGAUGCAGCCAUGCCGCGUGUGUGAAGAAGGCCUUAGGGUUGUAAAGCACUUUCAGCGGGGAAGAAGGCGGUGAGAUUAAUACUCUCACCGAUUGACGUUACCCGCAGAAGAAGCACCGGCUAACUCCGUGCCAGCAGCCGCAGUAACAC